CCUACGGGAGGCAGCAGUGAGGAAUAUUGGUCAAUGGGCUUACGCCUGAACCAGCCAAGUCGCGUGAGGGAAGACUGCCCUAUGGGUUGUAAACCUCUUUUGUCAGGGAGCAACGCCGGCUACGUGUAGCCGGACUGAGAGUACCUGAAGAAAAAGCAUCGGCUAACUCCGUGCCAGCAGCCGCGGUAAUACGGAGGAUGCGAGCGUUAUCCGGAUUGAUUGGGUUUAAAGUGUGCGUAGGCGGAAUGCCAAGUCAGCGGUAAAAUCGCGGGGCUCAACCUCGCUCCGCCGUUGAAACUGGCGUUCUUGAGUGGGCGAGAAGUAUGCGGAAUGCGUGGUGUAGCGGUGAAAUGCAUAGAUAUCACGCAGAACUCCGAUUGCGAAGGCAGCAUACCGGCGCCCAACUGACGCUGAAGCACGAAAGCGUGGGUAUCGAACAGGAUUAGAUACCCGAGUAGUC
rnacentral:rRNA from 1 species